rnacentral:piRNA from 1 species
UGUUUACUCGAGCUCCUGUGCUCGGUGUGGU